rnacentral:antisense_RNA from 1 species
CUCGAUGGUGGCUGUGCGCAUGGCGCCUUCGGGCGCGCCGGUUUUGGUGUGAUUCGCCGGUCUACUAACUUGCGCACAGCCGCCACCCUU